rnacentral:rRNA from 1 species
AUUGAACGCUGGCGGCAUGCUUUACACAUGCAAGUCGAACGGCAGCGGGGACUUCGGUCCGCCGGCGAGUGGCGAACGGGUGAGUAAUGCAUCGGAACGUGCCUAUCAGUGGGGGAUAACGCUUCGAAAGGAGUGCUAAUACCGCAUAUUCUCUGAGGAGAAAAGCAGGGGACCAUAGGGCCUUGCGCUGAUAGCGCGGCCGAUGUCGGAUUAGCUAGUUGGUGAGGUAAAGGCUCACCAAGGCGACGAUCCGUAGCGGGUCUGAGAGGAUGAUCCGCCACACUGGGACUGAGACACGGCCCAGACUCCUACGGGAGGCAGCAGUGGGGAAUUUUGGACAAUGGGCGAAAGCCUGAUCCAGCCAUGCCGCGUGAGUGAAGAAGGCCUUCGGGUUGUAAAGCUCUUUUGUCCGGGAGGAAAUCCUGGCCUCUAAUACAGGUCGGGGAUGACAGUACUGGAAGAAUAAGCACCGGCUAACUACGUGCCAGCAGCCGCAGUAAGAC